AAAUUGAAGAGUUUGAUCAUGGCUCAGAUUGAACGCUGGCGGCAGGCCUAACACAUGCAAGUCGAGCGGUAGCACAGAGAGCUUGCUCUCGGGUGACGAGCGGCGGACGGGUGAGUAAUGUCUGGGAAACUGCCUGAUGGAGGGGGAUAACUACUGGAAACGGUAGCUAAUACCGCAUAAUGUCGCAAGACCAAAGUGGGGGACCUUCGGGCCUCAUGCCAUCAGAUGUGCCCAGAUGGGAUUAGCUAGUAGGUGGGGUAACGGCUCACCUAGGCGACGAUCCCUAGCUGGUCUGAGAGGAUGACCAGCCACACUGGAACUGAGACACGGUCCAGACUCCUACGGGAGGCAGCAGUGGGGAAUAUUGCACAAUGGGCGCAAGCCUGAUGCAGCCAUGCCGCGUGUGUGAAGAAGGCCUUCGGGUUGUAAAGCACUUUCAGCGGGGAGGAAGGCGGUGAGGUUAAUAACCUCAUCGAUUGACGUUACCCGCAGAAGAAGCACCGGCUAACUCCGUGCCAGCAGCCGCGGUAAU
rnacentral:rRNA from 1 species